rnacentral:rRNA from 1 species
CAGCAGCCGCGGGAAUACGAACCGUGCGAACGUUAUUCGGAAUUACUGGGCUUAAAGCGCGUGUAGGCGGGCCGCCACGUCGGUUGCUGAAAUCCCCCGGCUCAACCGGGGAAGUGGCAUCGAUACGAGCGGCCUUGAGGGGGGUAGGGGGAUCUGGAACUUCCGGUGGAGCGGUGAAAUGCGUUGAGAUCGGAUGGAACGCCCGUGGCGAAAGCGAGGUCCUGGACCCUUUCUGACGCUGAGACGCGAAAGCCAGGGGAGCGAACGGGAUUAGAUACCCGCGUAGUCCCUGUCUCUUAUU